UACGUAGGGUGCAAGCGUUAUCCGGAAUUAUUGGGCGUAAAGAGCUCGUAGGCGGUUUGUCGCGUCUGCUGUGAAAACUGGAGGCUCAACCUCCAGCCUGCAGUGGGUACGGGCAGACUAGAGUGCGGUAGGGGAGAUUGGAAUUCCUGGUGUAGCGGUGGAAUGCGCAGAUAUCGGGAAGAACACCCGUGGCGAAGGCGGCUCUCUGGGACGGUACUGACGCUGAGACGCGAAAGCGUGGGGAGCGAACAGG
rnacentral:rRNA from 1 species